GCACAGGGGGAAGGACAAUGAUUGGGAUAUAAACUCAGGCAUUCCAGCAGGGAGUGGCAACCCCCUUUGGGUCCCCUCCCUUGUAGGGGAGCUCUGUUUUCACUCUAUUAAAUCUUUCAACUGCACAUUCUUCUGGUCCGUGUUUGUUACGGCUCGGGCUGAGCUUUCCCUCGCCGUUCACCACUGCUGUUCGCCGCCAUCCCAGACCCACUGUUGACUUCCACACCCCCGGAUCCGGCAGGGUGUCCGCUGUGCUCCUGAUCCAGUGAGGCGCCCACUGCCGCUCCCGUUCGGGCUAGAGGCUCACCAUUGUUCAUGUGCGGCUAAGUGUCCGGGUUCGUCCUAAUCCAGCUGAACAGGAGUUGCUGGGUUCCACAGUUCUCGUCCAUGACCCACGGCUUCUAAUAGAGCUAUAACACUCACCUCAUGGCCCAACGUUCCAUUCCUUGGAAUCCAUGAGGCCAAGACCCCCAGUUCAGAGAAUAAAAGGCUUGCUGCCAUCUUGGGAGCCGCCUGCCCCAUCUUGGGAGCUCUAAGAACAAAGACCCGCCUAUAACAAUGGUAUGCUCUUCAUUUUCAAAGUGCUCCAACAACUCUUGCUGAGGUACAGGUCGUACACGCCUACCCAUUUCCUUCUUAUCAGAAGAGUGAAAACACUGCAGAAAACCACCUCUUCUGUUUGUAUUUUACUUCCGGAAACAUAUACAUCCCAUCAACCCUCUCUAUCUUCAGUUUACUAGUGAAUAAAGAAGGACUUAAAGAAAUCCCUUUCAAAAAGAGUAAUACUAACAAAAACAAAGGCAAGUUGAAAAUGUGGUGGACCUCACCCUCAGACCAGGUGAGCCUUCAGAUUCUGCACCUCGCUGGCCGUGCAUAAAGAAGGCUGGGACAUCCCUGAAUUCACAGUCAGGGUGGUCGUCUGUGUGCAGAACUGAAAGCAAACAAGAGAAACGUGGAGCCACGGAGGCCAAGGAAAUCUGAUCAGCUCCAGAUCCCCAAGUUGGUCUUUUUACACCCCUAAAGACACCAUGCUUGCUCCUUCUCCAAGACUCAUAAGGAAAUACAAAUGACUUUGAAAUAUCAGCCACUGUUAACUGGAUCAGAUUCCUCCAGUAAAUAUGAGAGAAGAGUCAUGACUUUUGCUCAGUCAUUAAAAUAAGAGACACAAGGAUUGGUAUGGGGUAUCCCUAGCAGAAUUUAUUCAAGGAAGCCUAAUCAAUAUCCCCCAUCUCACUAUUUCUUCAGACACGUGCUAAGUUUACAUAUUCGAAUCAAAUUAACAUAUCAGAGUCACAAAUUGGCAAUGGUGUCAAAAUACCUAUCCUCACCAUUCUAAAUCAUUUUUCACAUUAAAUAUGUCAAGGGCUAUGUUUGCGUGCAUAAGUCAAAAGAAGAGAAAUAAAGCAAUACAUUAAGAAGUUGGUGACAUAAGCUUAUUUAUUUAGUUAUUUAUUUUUGCCUAUUACUGGUAGAGAAAAAUGUAUUUAGUUUGCUCUAUUACAGGUAGAGAAAAAUUAUAUUUUGUUGUUCUGAGUGAAACCAGUGAUAAUCAUUUUACCUCUUCUUUUAAGUAGUAUAGAAGUCUAACAUUUUCAUUGCUUAUUGCCAGAACUUAAGUGCUAAGAUUUUUUCUAUAUUGUCUGAUUUGAUUCAUACAUAUAAUGUUGAGAUUCAAGAAUUAUUAUCCCAUUUACCAGAUGAGGAAGUGGAGGUACAGAAGUUUUAGAAAAGGGAAUUAGCCUCCGCUUCUAUUCUAUUAAGCCACUAUAUUUCAGAAGGCAUAGAGUAUCUAUUUUGCAUUUGGGUUGGGGGAGAUGGAGAUUUGCCCUAACUUUGAUUCUUUUAGGUCAAGAAUAAUUUCUUUCAGAACCCGGAUGGUUUUCUUAUUUCCAUAAAAUGGGUUGCCACAUUAGGCCUCAGAGUCCACCAAAUGAACGGUUCUUCUCUUCUGCUGUCCCUCAAAUUUGUGAUAUGUAAAAUAUGUGUGAAGAUGCAGAUAACAUGUGGGAUCUCAUUGGCUCUACCAUUCCUUAGAGAAAAUAGAUCUAGCUUGCUCAAAAGGAGACUAUUAUCUGACUGCCUGAAUAGAUCCCAUUACAGGAAAAAUUGACUGAAAUAUUGUCAAAUGUGUUCCAGCAAUAAAAUUCAGGUA
rnacentral:lncRNA from 1 species